rnacentral:rRNA from 1 species
UACGUAGGGGGCAAGCGUUAUCCGGAUUUAUUGGGCGUAAAGAGCGUGUAGGCGGUUUGGUAGGUCCGCUGUGAAAACUCGAGGCUCAACUUCGAGACGCCGGUGGAAACCAUCAGACUAGAGUGCGGUAGGGGAGACUGGAAUUCCUGGUGUAGCGGUGGAAUGCGUAGAGAUCCGGAGGAACACCAAAGGCGAAGGCAGUGUCCUGGGGAGUACCUGACGCUCAGGUGCGAAAGCCAGGGGAGCGAACGGG